AUCCCAAAUAUCAAAUAAAAAAAAUUAAUAUUAUAUAUACUCAGUGGUGUAAGUAUCUGUACAAUGUACAUGAAUCUGAUAAUACUGGUUUGGUGAACUAGAGCUGGUUUUAUGUAAUUGCUUAUUCAUAUUUAUUUUAUACCAUAAAAAUUAUACGCAGCCGACUAGUGACGAUAAUGCGUGAUAUAAUUUAUUGCUACGUGCUCUGAUUUUUCAUAAACAUUAUAUCAAUAUACUAUCAAUAUAGUAUGACGUAGCUAAUACAUUCCAGAGUAUGACGAGGUAAAGCUAGGUCCACAACACUACAUACACUUAUGGGUAGGUCUAGUAAGUCCUAUGGGAUCAUUAAUACAUGUCAAAAAAUUAAUGAUCUCCACUCUUGAAGAUUAUAGACACGCAGUAAUUUUGUUCGAGUGCAUACUCCAUCGGGGCCAUAUUUUAUAUAUUUACCAUUAGGUAGGAUAGGCAAUUGCCUAUGGCCCUCAUUAUUAGAGUGCCUCGGAUUUUUAUGAACCUUAUUUUAAUUUUAUUUUACUUGGUAACUUAGGUUUACUAUCAUUAGAAAGCGAUCUUACAUGUUCUUUAAAUUUUUAUGACAUAAUAAAUGUAUUUACUUUUAAAAAAGCAAGAAAUGUAAUAUUAUAAAAUAGCUUAUUUCUAUAAAAAAUGUAAAAAUGUAUUGUUUUCACAGUUAAUAAUAUAUAAAAAUAAAGUUUAAUUAUGUUUUCCAUAUAAAUAUAUGCACUUCUAUUAAUUAAUAAAUAAUCAGAAAAAUGACAUCCGUGACCUGUAGCGAUAAAAUAUGUAUACAAUUAUAAUUAUGUUUGUGAAAAUUUAUAAGUAAAUUGUAAUUGUUAAUUUGUAUUUAUACGCUACUGUUGACAAGGUACCACAUUUUUUAAGGCCACAAAAUGCCUAAAUCAGGCCCUUUACUCCAUACAUAAAACAAAUGUUUUUCAAAAAUAAUAUUUCAAAAUAAAGAAUAAAUACAUUAUACAUAAAUCCUUUAUAAUUUUUUAUUAAUGUAUAAUUUUUAUAAUAUUUUUAAAUUUAAUAUUUACCUAAUAUAAUUUUAGUUUUUUUUUAUCAGGAUUAACGAAUAUACACAAUAGUAGCAAUUAUAAAUAUGACAAAUAUACAAAGGAAAAUAAUAAAAUGACCCAAAAUUAUUUUGUUCAGUUGAAAACAUGUCGGGUUAUUAUGGAUGAAUUAUAUGGAACAUACAUACAAAGGCUAAAAGUUAUUGGAUGUAUACCAUUAUCCCUUGACUUGAUGCAGCUUGAACAAUAUUUUUUACUUGGUUAAAUGUACAAUUAAUAUUAGUAUUCAUACAUUGUAAGCACACGGGUGCACGUAUCAAUAUAUUAUAUAUCAUAGUUAACUUUCUAUUGUAAUGUGAAGCAAUACUUAUUAAUACUACACACAUACAUAGGUAUGGUUAUGUGACGUCAAUGAAGCGUAUAUAUAGGGCUCAUUUUGUAUACAAGACUCUCUCUGGGUCACUCUCGGACACUCUUGGACACGGUACACUGUGUAUCUAUAUCUAGUUGUAUGUUACAUUUAUAUUAAACUGUUAUUAUAAUCAUAAA